GAUGAACGCUAGCGGCAGGCUUAAUACAUGCAAGUCGUACGGGAUCCGAGAUAGCAAUAUCUUGGUGAGAGUGGCGCACGGGUGCGUAACACGUAUGCAACCUACCUUUAACCGGGACACAACCUCGAGAAAUUGUGGCUAAUAUCCCAUAACACUGCGAAGUGGCAUCACUUUGCAGUUAAAACUCCGGUGGUUAUAGAUGGGCAUGCGCGACAUUAGCUAGUUGGUGAGGUAACGGCCCACCAAGGCUACGAUGUCUAGGGGUUCUGAGAGGAUUAUCCCCCACACUGGUACUGAGACACGGACCAGACUCCUACGGGAGGCAGCAGUGAGGAAUAUUGGACAAUGGGCGCAAGCCUGAUCCAGCCAUGCCGCGUGCAGGAAGAAGCAUCUAUGGUGUGUAAACUGCUUUUGUACGGGAAGAAACACUCCUUCGUGAAGGAGCUUGACGGUACCGUAAGAAUAAGGAUCGGCUAACUCCGUG
rnacentral:rRNA from 1 species